rnacentral:rRNA from 1 species
UACGGAGGGGACUAGCGUUGUUCGGAAUUACUGGGCGUAAAGCGCACGUAGGCGGAUUUGUAAGUCAGGGGUGAAAUCCCGGGGCUCAACCUCGGAACUGCCUUUGAUACUGCAAAUCUCGAGUCCGGAAGAGGUGAGUGGAAUUCCUAGUGUAGAGGUGAAAUGCGCAGAUAUCAGGAGGAACACCAGCGGCGAAGGCGGCGCUCUGGGCUGGAACUGACGCUGAGGAGCGAAAGCGUGGGGAGCGAACAGG